rnacentral:rRNA from 1 species
AUUGAACGCUGGCGGCAGGCCUAACACAUGCAAGUCGAACGAGUGGCGGACGGGUGAGUCAUGUCUGGGAAACUGCCUGAUGGAGGGGGAUAACUACUGGAAACGGUAGCUAAUACCGCAUACCAUCAGCUGUGCCCAGAUGGGAGUAUCUAGUUGGUGGGGUAACGGCUGCCCAAGGCGACGAUCCCGAGCUGGUCUGAUAGGAGGACCAGCCACACUGGAACUGAGACACGGUCCAGACUCCUAUGGGAGGCAGCAUUGGGUAAUAUUGCACAAUGGGCGCAAGCCUGAUGCGGCCAUGCCGCGUGUAUGAAGAAGGCCUUCGGGUUGUAAAGUACUUUCAGCGGGGAGGAGUUACCCGCAGAAGAAGCACCGGCUAACUCCGUGCCAGCAGCCGCGGUAAUAC